UCAACCGGUCCUAAAACCUGCCCAUGUUUGGAUAUAUAUGUCCAAACGUCUCUAUAGAAUUAGAGACAGACUUAUCUUCUUCCUCGUACAGUCCACCUCUACUGAAACACCACCCUUGACCACCCCUUCACAACCGUUGACCACCCGUCUACCACCCUAACGCCGUCACUGGAAAUCGCCUCACGCUGGCGGCUGGUUACCAAACCUCCCCAAGUUUACACCAGCAAACCAUCACAACCUCCUCUUUCCCGUCCUGUGUUUGGUUCCCGUCGAAUAAGAC
rnacentral:lncRNA from 1 species